rnacentral:lncRNA from 1 species
GUCAUGAACAGCAUACCCAACACCAAAGCCAUCAGAGACCACAGGGGCAAAGCCCCCAAGGUUCACUGCUGGGCUGCUCAGUGUGCUCGUGGACAGGACAUUGUGGUUUAUCUGCCCGUAUGCAGGGUCCAGGUAGAGCUCAGGCAAGAUGAUCCCUUUGGCUGCUGCCAGAUGCCGCAGAGCAAACAAGUGUCGGUCAAAGCCCUGGCCUGUGAGAAACAAAAUGGAAAACCAGAGUCUCAGGAUGGAAAAGGACCUCAGGAAAACCUCCCAACUCACCACAUGGACCAGGAGGUGUCUGGCCUUGUCAUCAGUGAAGAGUUCAUCCCGACUGGGUUUGGGUAAACGAGUUGAGUUGAAAAGCCGAAAAUACUGGGACAUAUCCAGGGGAUACGCAUUGACCAGGGUUCAAGUGGAACACUUCUGGCUCCAGAAGGCCAGCCCGGAGUGUCUUCAGAAACCGGAUGGCAGAAACAGUCAUGUUGGUUGCCCGGGUGAGCUGGUCAUUAUACUCAGAUUUUGGGUCAGGAUUGAAAGCCAUAAAUGGAUUAAAGUUCAGAACAACGGAGUCUCGAGCAGAUAGGUACAUAUCAAACCAGGGUCCUAAAAAAUAAAAAGAAAAAAAUAACAUAAAAUGUUAAUGCUGUCCCUAAAAAUAAAAUUUGAAGAAGAAAAAAAAUUCAAGCAUAGACAAAGGAAAUGGCAUCAACCUCCAGAGAGAAGAAUUCCCUGAAUGUUUUUGCUCUGCAAUAAUUCAAGACAUACAAAUGGGGUCAUACAAUAUAUGGUGUUUUGCAUUUAGCUUCUAUCACUUACAAUAAUGUUUUUGUUUUGU